rnacentral:rRNA from 1 species
AUUGAACGCUGGCGGCAGGCCUAACACAUGCACGUCGAGCGGAGCGGCGGACGGGUGAGUAAUGCCUAGGAAUCUGCCUGGUAGUGGGGGAUAACGUCCGGCAACGGGCGCUAAUACCGCAUACUAUCAGAUGAGCCUAGGUCGGAUUAGUUAGUUGGUGUGGUAAAGGCCUCCCAAGGCGACGAUCCGUAACUGGUCUGAGAGGAUGAUCAGUCACACUGGAACUGAGACGCGGUCCAGACUCAUACGGUAGGCAGCAGUGGGGAAUAUUGGACAAUGGGCGAAAUCCUGAUCCAGCCAUGCCGCGUGUGUGAAGAAGGUCUUCGGAUUGUAGAGCACUUUAAGUUGGGAGGCGUUACCAACAGAAGAAGCACCGGCUAACUUCGUGCCAGCAGCCGCGGUAAUUC